rnacentral:rRNA from 1 species
UACGAGGGGGGCAAAUGUUGUUCGGAAUCACUGGGCGUAAAGGGCGCGUAGGCGGGUUCUUAAGUUAGGUGUUUAAUCCCGGGGCCCAACCCCGGACCGGCACUUAAAACUGGGAAUCUUGAAUAGUGGAGAGGUCAGUGGAAUUGGGGGUGUAGCGGUGGAAUGCGUAGAGAUCCCCAAGAACACCAGUUGCGAAGGCGGCUGACUGGACACAUAUUGACGCUGAGACGCGAAAGCCAGGGGAGCGAACGGG